rnacentral:rRNA from 1 species
UGGGGAAUUUUGGACAAUGGGCGCAAGCCUGAUCCAGCAAUGCCGCGUGCAGGAUGAAGGCCUUCGGGUUGUAAACUGCUUUUGUACGGAGCGAAAAGGCUUCCACUAAUACUGGGGGCUCAUGACGGUACCGUAAGAAUAAGCACCGGCUAACUACGUGCCAGCAGCCGCGGUAAUACGUAGGGUGCAAGCGGUAAUCGGAAUUACUGGGCGUAAAGCGUGCGCAGGCGGUUAUGUAAGACAGAUGUGAAAUCCCCGGGCUUAACCUGGGAACUGCAUUUGUGACUGCAUAGCUAGAGUACGGUAGAGGGGGAUGGAAUUCCGCGUGUAGCAGUGAAAUGCGUAGAUAUGCGGAGGAACACCGAUGGCGAAGGCAAUCCCCUGGACCUGUACUGACGCUCAUGCACGAAAGCGUGGGGAGCAAACAGG